rnacentral:tRNA from 1 species
GGGCGGUUAGCUCAGUUGGUUAGAGCGCCACGUUGACAUCGUGGAGGUCGGUGGUUCGAACCCACUAUCGCCCACCA